GCAACCCUGAUCCAGCCAUGCCGCGUGAGUGAAGAAGGCCUUCGGGUUGUAAAGCUCUUUCAGCCGGGAAGAAAANGNNUNGGUUAAUACCCUGGGCGGAUGACGGUACCGGAAUAAGAAGCACCGGCUAACUACGUGCCAGCAGCCGCGGUAAUA
rnacentral:rRNA from 1 species